UACCGAGUUUGCUGAAGUUUGAGAGAAAGAAACCAAGAGAUAAAGAGAUAAAACUCGAAAAGGACGGUAGAGUGGAAAAGGGACGAGACUGGACGAAAGAAAGAACCGCGGAACGUGCUCGAAGGGAUGAUACGAAGAGAAAAGAAGCGCACGCGACAGAUGGGCGGUAGGGGCAUGGAGAAGUAAGUGGUAAAGCAAGGGCAUACGUCGGCCGAAAUAGUAUAGUACAGUACAGGACCGGUCGGUAAAGGGUAGUUAGUAGAGAAGGAGUACGGCAGGCACCAGCGGUAGGAUGGUGGGUGGAAUGGUGGGUAACGAUGGAGCAAGGGAUGCGCCGAGGAAGGAAGCACUGCGAUAGAAAGAGGGAGAGAUAGUAUAACAGAUAUAUGUACAUAUGUAUAAGCAAGCGAUCCUGGGAAGAGAGUAGGAGGGGAAGCAAAGGUCCAGGAAGAGUUGAGUGGAGAGAGUGUGGAUGAUUGUGGUGCGGGAACGAGGCGGGAGAGAUCGGAGUGGGACACACGGGGUGGUAGAAGCGAAACGGGAGGAACGAGGGCAGUGGUAGGAGAAGGAGGCAGAGGUGGUGAUGAGGAAUGGGGGUAGGAGAUGAGAGGGGAUGGUUGGGAGAAAGGACGAGGGUGGGGGUUGGUCAUAGGGGUAACGGUAGGAUUCCGGGGGUUGAAAGCAGCUGAGAGCAGUGUACGAGUAGGUCAUACCACAGAGGAGAAAGGUAGUUCGUGUUUAGCAAACGGCUCGUCCGUUCAGUUGGACGAAACGUACAAUAGUCGUUGGAUCGGUUCUCUCUGCAUUUUUCAUUCGUAUCUUUUUUUCAAGAGUAUCUCAUCCCUGAUAUCGAUUGUCAUUUAUCCUUGUUAGUGUUAUUAUCGUCGUGGUCGUCGUUGUCGUGGUUAUCGUCGUCGUUGUCGUCGUCGUCGUCGUCAUCGUCGUCAUCGUCGUUAUCCUCAUCGUCCUCCGUGUCAUCCUCCUCGACGUCCUUGUCCUUGUUAUCAUCGUCCUUGUCCUUGUUCCCUGGAGGACGUUAUCGAGGAUCGAAGGAAAUGGACACUCAUAUCGAAGAGCAAUGGCUGAACAUCUUUACCGUGUAACGAAGAAUUCAGAGUGAUUUGAUCGAUUAAAAGUACGAGUCACGACGGCCAACGAAUCGAGAAACGAAGAGUCGCACGGAACAGG